UGAAAGCAGUUGACCUGUGGAUGUCCUUGAUGAGAGGUUUUUGUUUGGUUUUUCUCCAGUACUGGGAACUGAACUCACAACCUUGCGCUUGCCAGGCAGGCGCUUUUUGCCGCUGAGCUAAAUCCCCAGCCCGAGAGGUUUUUGUUUGAAGAGGCCCCCUCCAUGAACCUUCCUUUCCCAUCUCUGAAAACAAAGUUGAAUCGUCGCACACUUCUCCAGAGCGAGGGGCUGCUGGGGUGGCAGGCGCAUCUCUGUUGGCAGAGCAAAGGUGCGCCAGUCUGCUGCCCACAUACCCCGUGAAUGCUGGCAGCCAGAGCUUAGUCUUGAUUAAGCAGAUUAGGCCAAAGAAAGCACAAAUGCAAAGCCAGGCAAAGCACCAGAGAUGGCUGCUCACCGGCAUCCAAACCUCAGCUUUUGCCCAUCAGUUGUCCCCAGAGUACCCGGAAAGAGGAGACGGAGAGUGCACAUACCUUGGCCAGCUCUAAAGCCAUCCACUUAAAUCUUAGCUAGACAGGGCCAGAUCGGAGGUUCCCUGGUACCAGGCAGGAGGGCCUCUGUGUGUGUGUGUGUGUGUGUGUGUGUGUGUGUGUGUGUGUGUAGGCAUGUGGGUACACUGCAAACUCAUCGUGUCAAAGGCAGCACUUGCUCUGCUGGCCUCGUUAGAAUAACCAUAUCACACAAUGCUUUCUUUCUAAAUAAACAGACAAAGUAAGCUGGCCAGUAAGUCACUUAAAAGAUAGAGCAGGCUAAGUCCAGUCGUCGGCCGCUGAGUGCAGACAAACAGCCUCUAUGUGAGCUGAAUGGAAAGAAGAUAUCAUCUAUCCUGCACACAGCCCCGUAAUUGCAUAUCAGUCCUGACUCCUGCAAAAUAAUGACCUCUCCUCCCAUGGUUUGUGGAACACAUGGGGAGGAAAUAGUAGAUCUGAGCUAACUGGCUCAGAAAUUCUAACCAGAUGAUAGAAAAAUGUUUUGUCAAAAUAAGAGUUCUUUGAAUUCUUAAGAGCCCUGUAUAACCUAAUAAACAACCUUUUAAAGGCAGAAUGCAAAAUGAAUCCAGCAAAAAAAAAAAUGAGUCCAGCAAGAAGGCCCACAAUUAUUGCAAUAUCAUUUUGCCAAUUCUUUUAUUUUGACGUGGACAGAGAAGAAUCCAAAAUAAAACCCUCUCCCUCAUUCCU